AGAGGUGACAAGCGUUGUUCGGAAUUACUGGGCGUAAAGGGCGCGUAGGCGGUCUUGUCAGUCCCUUGUGAAAUCCCCCGGCUCAACUGGGGAACUGCAAGGGGAACAGCAGGGCUUGAGUUCGGGAGGGGGUAGCGGAAUUCCCAGUGUAGCGGUGAAAUGCGUAGAUAUUGGGAGGAACACCGGUGGCGAAGGCGGCUACCUGGACCGGUUCUGACGCUGAUGCGCGAAAGCGUGGGUAGCAAACAGGAUUAGAUACGCUGGUAGUCCACGCCGUAAACUAUGGGUGCCAGCCGUCGGUGAGCUUGCUCAUCGGUGGCGCAGCUAACGCUUUAAGCACCCCGCCUGGGGAGUACGGUCGCAAGAUUA
rnacentral:rRNA from 1 species